CUAAUUUGAAUAGGGUGCGAAUGGGGAGGGACUGAUAUGGCAAAUAAUCCCUCACCGCAAAAACACGCGGGUCAUCUGGGCAGCAAACCGGAUCGGGUCGGGCGCAUAGGCUUGUGCGACGCCGUUUUGGGGCCACGGUAGUAAGCCUCAAACGACGUCGUCCCCCACAGGUAUAAAAAUCCCCUUUCAUGCCAGAUUUCCAAAGCUCCCAAACCUUAGCCCCUUUUCAUCAGCCACACCUCCAUUUUCUCCCUCAAAAAGCACCAGCCAGCCGCAAGGUGCGGUGACCGACGCCCAAGCUUUGAAGUAUGGCCCAUUUUAGCCACAGACCCCCUCCUAUCUCCGAUUGCAACGAAGUGAUAGGGGAUCGACGGCCUAGAAGCGAGGUAAGUCCUCUCUUUUUCCUUUUUCUUUUAUUUAGAUGUAAAGAACGAAAAAGAAAAUAAAAAAGGAGUAGAUCGAGAGAGAAAAAAAUGUAAUAAACUCGAGAUUCAAAGCAAAAAAUCACCUUACUCUGUUUUUUUUGCUUUUUAUUGCUUCUGUAUGUGUGUAACCCUACAACUGAUGAAAUCCCCUGGCUUUAUAGCCGAAUGGGGUAAAAAUAAAAAGAAAAAUAAAAAAAUACAAUGUUCUUCGUUGUUUUGUUUGUUUUGCUGUGCGUUUGUCUCUUUUCUGCAGGUACAGGGUGCGUGGCGCUCGGGUACGGGGCUGUGCUGGCGUGUGUACGGGAGCCAUGCUGGCGUACGGGGACUUGGCGUGGUUGCUGGAGGUGUUGUACAGCGCCUAGAGGUUGCAGGGGCUGCUGCGGCGCAAGUAGAAAGCUACUAGGGUUUAUCGGUUUAGACAUUGGGCUUAUUAGGCCUAUUUUGGGUCAAGUAUAGGUUUAGGUAAUGGGUCUGUAACUUGGGUCUUGGGUUUAAUACCGGGCCUAUGUAAUUGGACUUUAAGCAUUUAAUGGACUGUUAUAAUUUUAUUUAUUUUUAUUUUUGGUUUGUUUUUGUUUUUUUUGUUUUUAUAUGGGUCGGGCAAAUUUGGCCUACUACACUAAUCAUAACAAUGUAAACUUAAUGAUCUAACAGACAAUAUCACUAAGGGUGGGUUUGGAUGGGCGAUGGGAUGUAAUACGGUGCGUUUAGCUUACUUUACACUAAU
rnacentral:lncRNA from 1 species